rnacentral:lncRNA from 1 species
UUUUGGUACAGAUGCUAUAAGGACAGGCUUUGGAGGUAGAAGGGCGAGCUGUGAUGUUGGUGCUGCCCCCAUGCAGAGCACAUAAUCUCUCCCUGAGCCAUGGCAGCUGCUGCCACUGUUGAUGUUUCUGCCCAUUGCUCAGGAUUCCAGAAGACCCAAGCCUGCACACAGCGUGUUCACACCUAUCACAUCUGCUCUGCUCAUGCUUCGUUGUCUCAUCAGACUUCACCGACCAAGCACAAGUUCAAAGAUGAGCCAGCUCCCUUGUGAAGCUGUAAGAACAUGGUACUUACAGGAGUAAGGCUCAUGAAGUGGAGAGAUGAGAAGACUUUCGGGACAGAUUGUGUGGAGGCUGUCAUUCUCCUCGUGACAUUGCUGUGGGAGAAGAAGGAGGCAUUCCAUGUUGGCUUCAGUGAAGAACUUCAGGCUGUAUGAAGCUGAGGCAAGAUUGCGUUCAAUUUAUCUUGUGUUCAACAGUCUUCAAGGUGAUUUAGAUCACUGCCUGGGAAAGCUAAUGUAGUACAGCAUGAGUGGGAGUUAAUUGAAGAUACAAUACAGUCAAGCAACAGGAGGAAAGAAACAACAAAUGGGAGACAUGAGGUUCCGAGGAUCAUGGUUCCAACACAGGACAGCAGAAAAGAGGAGUUGCAAAAUGACUGCUACAAAACAGACUUAAAGAGAAAACAUUCCAGUUUCACGUAGGAGGACAAAAGAAAAAACAAAACAACAUGAACAUCCAUUCUCUGCUUCUUUUCAGAGAAGGAUGGAGCAAAUGCCCCAGAUGAAGCCUACACGACAUGAGUCAGAGAACUUUGGCCAGGAUGUCUGGGGAAAAAGUUUCCUCUUUCUUCUCUGGGAACUAUCUGGAGAGGGUUGUUUUAACGCUGGAUGUGAACAGCGACUCGUGUAGCCCCAGAAGCCUCUGACAGCCGCGUUGGAAUCAUAAGUUCUCAAAAUGAAGGUUGUGGUCUAGAAAGCAUAUUGUGAUUUGUACAAGAAGCACAUUCCCAUUUUACAAAAGUACAAAAGCACAUUUUGGACUUUUAACAAAUUCAACUGUUUUGUGUUCUGUGUGAGUAAAUUUUAGGUUGCCCAUCAUUGAAAACCAGUUUAAAAAAAAAUAAUGGGAGUAGAUAAUCCAGACAACAUUUUCUACCGUAUUUGUUGACUCCAGUUGUUGGAAAGUAAAAUUCUGGAGGAAGAGCUGGGAUAUCUCCAGGGGCUUAGUUUAACAUCAUCAAAGACUCUCCUGCUCCCCCUUUGCAUGUUACAGUAUCUGCUUUACCAAUCAGAGGGAAAUUUAUCAUGUAGGAUUUAAAGGAGAUAUUUAUGGCGUCCGUAAGCACAAUGACUUUGACUGGUAAGACGUCAGCUAUUCCCUUUAGGAGAUAAAAGGCCACAGCUGGUGAGGUAAUAGAACAGGAACUGUUUCAAUAUUUCAAAACAGAAGACCUUGUUGAAGAAGAGAGAUUUUAUAUGGCAUUUGCUUUUAUUUUUUUCCUUCUAUGAUGAACAGGUGUGGGAGUCAAUUCAAGAAGGCAGCUUAGAUGAUUGUGAGACAAGGGAGGGAGGUAAAUAUUUUUGAUGGUUGGGGAAGGACUGAGAUUUUCAAACUUCAAACCAAACAUGUAGUCCAAGCCUUUUCUACCUGUGUACACAAAGGAAAGAGGAAACUAAGUCAAUGUAAAAUAGGCAGUUGUUGUUUGGAAAAGUUAUGAAAUCCUCCUGGCUACACAAAACAGAAAGCCCAGCUAUGUGACAAGUGUUUGAUGUAAAUAUGCAAAUGCAGUUUUAAAUUCAUUAUACCUAAGGGAACAAGGUGUCUGGGUAAGGGGGGUUCUACUGUUUCUUAAGCUUACAAAGCAGGUCCUUGAAUAAUGUCAUUUAAGUUCAAUGUAAUUUCCUUAUAAUGUUGAUGAGAAAAAAAAAAUGGAUUCCUAGCUGAAGUCAUUGUGUGUGUGGACUUUGCAUGUCCUCCCCAUGUCUGGUUUCCUCCCAAAACCCAAAGCUGUGUCCGUUAGAUGAAUCAGUGUGUCUCACUGGUCCCAGCGUGAGUGAGUGUUGCUAUGUAUGAGUGGGCCCUGCAAUGGGAAUGGUGACCUGUCUGGGGCUGGUUCCAGCCUGGUACCCUGAGCUACCAGAAGUGGCUCUGGCCCCUUGAGCUUCUGAACUUGAAUAAGUGGGUAAAUUAUUAUCUUACUUGUUUUUGUUAACCUUUCUUAAGUGUAUGUGUAGCUCACCUUCCUUUCAAAGUUAUUUUGAUGUUUAUUUCAAUAUUAGAAGUGUUUGGGUCUUUCUUUAGAAGUUUGGUGAUUUUUUUUUUUGUGACCAAAAUAUGCUGUAGCAACUUAACUCUUGUUUAGAUCGGUUAGCUUAUAGCAAAGCUAUUUUCGUUAUGUGUUCUUUCACUUGAAGUUCCAGUUUCCAAGAACCUAUUGUCCAAGAUAAGUAAGGACUUACUGUACUUCUGGGCACACAAUGGGCUAAGCAUCUUAUAUUAUCAAAUGAGAUGAAAUAAAAUAUAAUGCUAAAAUGAUGUUAAAAAGUUAUCACAUUAUAACAAAUUAUAAGAAUUAUUAAAAUGACAGGAUAUAUUAAAGCACUGUAAAAAGUAAAGCUUAGUAGAUGCAUUAGAGGUUAUGAUUGGCAUUGCUAACAUUAUUAUUAUUAAAAUCCUUCAGUGCUGGGCACCACUUAUUUCUACCCUUAUAACCCCAUGGACCUGUACUGUAUCUUGUAAUAAAACCCUCAAUAAAUAUUUGAUACAUUGCUGAAUAAAAGGUAGGUUGACUUCUUAAAGUACCUGCAAAAUACCUCAUCCACAAGAGAAAAAGGCAAGAGAAUAACCUUGCUUCAUGAAGAAAGUAUCGAUCAUUCAGGCGUUAAAUUUUCCAUUUGUUCAUUUUUUUUUUUUUCCAGCAGAAACUCUUGGAGAAAUUGCAUAGCAUUAUUUUAAACAAUUCCCCUCAGAGGCCCAUUAGAUAGGCUUUUCUGCAGACAGGAUAGAUGUCUUUUACAGCUGGUCAGUGUUUAGUUCUCCCAAUACUUGACUGAAGAAAGAAAAUAACUGGGAUGUAAGAUAUCUGACCUAUAGAUUGCUCAUUCUCUGCAUGAGUCAAUCUUUGAAGUCGGAAGAUAAAAAUCACCAUUAAUCACAAAACUUUCUUACCAUCAUAAGGUCAGAUAUCCCAGGGCCCUUCCAAAAUUACCACGUGGACUGGCAUAGGGCGAGAUUGGCUCAGCUGUGGUCACUUUUAUGACACAGAGCUCCUUCCCUCUGGUUGAUGAUAUUGAAUGAGCAGGAAGGAAGAAAAGAAAUAAAAGUCAGCUAACCAUGGUUGAGUCAAUCCAGCCCACGGCAUUCAAAGGCUGAAGGGCCACCUGACACUCCAGAGGCUGCUGGAAAUGCAGGGCUGUUUCAUCCUGGGUAUUUUCCAGAGAGAAGUACUGAGAAGCUUAAAGUAUUUGAAUGGGAGGAGGAGAAGCAAACUACAGCUACUUCAGAGGAUAACACUAAACACCUAGUCCACUCUGUAUACACUAGAGGUGCUGUUAAUUUUCUUGUGGAGAAGGAACUGUCUUUAGAAAAAUAUCUCAAAAAGCCACUGAAGUAGAAAGUUUCAGCAUGCUGAAGAUGGAACUUGAGAAGAUAGAAAGUUCUGGGUCCUUAGUGGCAUGACUGAGUCGCUGGACCACUGUUGGAACCACCCUAUGUCUUAGUUUUUAAAUCUCUUUACUGUCUAAGACAUUUUUAGUGGAAGUAUUUAUCUCUGGCAUCCAAUAAGACCUUUAAGGAUUUGCAGUUUUAUCUAUGUGUUUGUUUAUUGUCUGCUCCACCCUACUUGAUUGUGAUCACCAUGACAUCAAUGACUGUGCAUCUUUUGUUCACUCAGGAAUAUCCAGUGCCUGCCACGCAGAGUGUGCUGCAUGUACAUGCUCACUUGAUAUCUGUUGUAGCAAAGAGUGAAAGAGAGAAGGAAUAAAUGCUUUCUCCCAUGAUGAGGGGACAUGGGGUCCAGACAAGCUGGACCAUUAUCCCAGGCCCAGCGCUCUGCUUUAUUUUUUUUUUUCCAGUACAGCAUCACAUUCAGUUACAACAGAGUGAAAUCUCCUAAGAACACGGCUGAUUAUUUCUUGAUUGCAAAAAGGACUCACUAACCCUCCGAUCUCCUGUAACGCAAGUCAAUGCUCUUCUAAUCUCCUUUUAGACAGCACCUGUACUUGUCAGUCAACGCAUGGUAGUCUGGGCUAGCCAAGUGAAUCCUUAACUAAACUGAAGUGGUGCUGAUCAUUCAGCCUUCAGAAUUGAAAAAAUCACAGCAUUGCUGAAGGAAAAGGCAUUUUUCAGGUAGAGAGGCAUAAGUCUUGGGCCAGGAAGCUUCAGUAAGAAGACAAUAAUUUCAUAGAAAUGCAUUAGCUUGGGGAGUCCAACUGCUGUUCUUGCACCUAAGAAAUUCAGAGGAGAGCUCUUUGCUUCCUUGCUCAUUCCAGUGGUUAGGAGUCAGGCCUUGUCCCAGAAUGUUCAGGUUGAUGCUUACCAUUUAAGCCUUAAGUUAAUCCGUUGAAGCUCCAGGCCUUUUAUGGGAUUCACAAGAAUAAACAGCAUUUAACUAUAGAUUCUCAAAGGUCAAAUCUUCAACCUAAAUCUGAGGAUUCAAAGCAUUGUUCACUCUAAUAAUUCUGCUAGUUCCCAACUUCACACAAACCAUUUAUUUCAGAAUGUAAACCUUGAAUAAUCUUUUCUUACUUGUAGUUUUGUGGUCAUUUAGAAAACAGCAAUACUCUAUUUUAAUUGGAACUAAGUGACAAAAAUAAGCCACUUCAUUAGUUUUCUAGAUAACGGUAAAAUGUAAGAACAAAAAGCCACUUCUUUUUCCACGUGGUAUUUUACAGUGACUUUUUUUUUUCUUUUUACUGCAUUUUAAAAUUCUACUGGAGGCAUUUCUCGGAAACUUUCUCUUACUUGUUAAUGAAUCAUCCCCUUUGAGAAUCAGCAGGUGAUUUCAGGAGCCCAGGUGUGAAUAAUUGAUUUAAGGUCGACCUUGUGGGUGGAGCCAAUGUUUACCAAGUGCAUUCAUUCGACAAACAAUUGAUGAACACCAAAUUAGAGUUCAAUUCCAGAUAACAAAAACCAGUUGAACUAAUUUCAUCAGAAAGCUACUUAAUAGGGGUAAUUAGGUGCUUACAAAAUAGAAGGGCUGGAAGCCCAGGAUCUAGGCUGACACCCAUGUAGCUAGACCCUGGAAACUGGGAUUCCAGCUGCACAGAACAGCCAAGUGUGUUCAUGACUGUGCUUGUUUGUCAGCAGGAGCAUGGCCCUGCCUUGUGAUACUGUGUUUUUCAGCUCUCACGUGGCUGAGUCUGUUUGGAGAAGUUGGUUCAAGAUGCAGCUUGACUCUCAGGGAGUCUGAAUAACUACCCUUAAUAUUGUUAGCUUUCUGGUCUCCAGCACACAGUAUGAUUUUCUGGAAGAAGGAUUUAAUGUAGUUAAAUAUGCCAACGUGUAAUAUCUGAUGUACAUUUCUACCCUGCUUGGGAUACAAAAUAAAUAAAAGCCAGUUUCUGUCUGUAAGGAGUGUACAGUUUAGUAAGAAGACAGACUCCUGAACAAAGAUGUAUACUUCAAUGUUGCCAGCCCAGGAUUAGAGAUGGGUAUUAAGAGGACCUCUGAUGAGUGAUAUUUUGCAUCUGGUGCAGGACAGUUCCCUAGGUGGCCUUGGACCAAACCAGUCCUCCCGCUUUCUCACUUGUAGUUUUAAGAAUAACUAGAAUGUGCUGGGAAUGCAACAUCCCGAGAUAAGGCCUAGGCUCUGUUCCAGUCCCCGCUAGAAACAGGAUGUCCUUCAGCACAUUAAUCCAGCAGGUCAUGUUAUCCCUGGAGUAGAAAACCCAGAGACGGCUACUUUCCAGGGUCCUGCAUCUGGGGUGCAAGUGAGGCACACGCAGAUGAGACUCCACCUGCCCUGGGCAGCUUUCCUGAGCCUUGAGAAACCAGCUCACCAUGAAUCCAAGGUGUCUGCUGUUCCUUGCCACCAUUUCAUGGAACCUGUUGUAUGUGUGAGUAUUCUCUCUUACCGGAGCAAGUAGUCAAAGUGCAGCCCAAGAUGCAGUGGGCUGAAGUAACCAGUGCAUAGUGAGCCUGCUUCUCACUGGGAUUUGAUUAAUCAUUUGAAAAUGCAUUAUUCUAAGUGCUUAACUUUAAAAGGGAAAAUAUUCUACUAUGAACGUGGACUCCCUAAAACAACAGAUUAAGGGAAGGCUGAAAGUGAUGACCCCUUUAAUUCCUGCUUUCCCAAGGAGACCCUCUGAUUCCCUGUGUGGUCCUUCCAUUUCCCCUUCAGGAGGCUGAAUGCCAUCGUGUCCACUUAUUUAGGCAAAGGAGAUGAAUGGGUUGCUUGGCUGCGGUUAGUCAUCAGGCCACUGGCAGAGUAGACUGGCACACGGAAAUCCUGAAGCUGAAUUCACUGUUACCUUUUGAGUCACUGUUACCCACCCACCCCAGACUUCCUCCCACCCCUAGUCUGAACCUGGAUCCUAUUCAAAGAUGUUUUCCCAUCUCUUUCCACUUACCUUCUGAAUUCAUUUUGGAGGAAUGUACCAAGAUCCUUUGAAUCCUCCAGGAAUGUUGAACUCAGUGAAAAGUGAUGUGGUUAAGAAAGCAAAUAAUAUGCUGAAAGAUGUUCAUUGGAAGUGGCUAGGGACAUCAAAGAAAUUGAUGAAUCUGCAUUUCAAAAAGCCAGCAGGGGGUAACAUUUCAGCUUACCUCAUAUUUCUCCUGCUUCUAAAUUGGCUAUUUACUGCCCAUGAAGUUUCUUCCUUCCCAUCAGGGCAGAAUACUAAUAUAGUUAGCCCCAGGAAAGAGAUGUCUGGAAAUGGUAUUGUCUUCUUAAAUCAAAGCAGCUGAAAGAAAUUUGUCUCUUUUAUUAACAAUGAAAUAUAGUUGCUAUCAAUGAGCAUCUACUGUAUUUCAGGCACUGUACUUAAACACUCUACAUGCAUUAUGCCAUUUAAUCCUCAAUCGUAUUGCUGAGAUCGAUAAUAUCAUUGACCCUAUUGUAUAGUUUGGGAAAAGGAGGGUAGCGAGAUUAGGAAAAUCGCCCAACUUGGCAACUGCUGGAGCAAGGAUUUGAGCUCUGUUGACCAUAUUGAUCACUAUAUGAUGUUGUCUCAUUGCCUUUAAACAACACUAGGGUUGGGUUAGGGUAGCAGAGGAUGUAUAUAAUAACACACACUGUUUAGUGAGAGUAAUUUUCCAGAACAAGCAAGAAAGGAGAAAUGCUUCAAUAAUCUUCUGAAGUUUAGUUUCCAUGGACAGUUAUGGAUUGCUAAGAAAUUGUCAAUAAAGGUAAGGGCCACGGAAGAAGCAGAAAUAAGCUGCACAGGCCAGGCACUGUGCCAUGUCAGUGGCAGAGCCACACCGUCACCUUCAUCAGAGCCCAAGGUCUGAAGACACUGAAAAGAAGAUCUGGCCACCAAAUGCCCUCAACAAGGGGUUGUCCAGACCCUGCUUCAACAUUGUCAGCAGCAGGGCAUGCUCCACCUCAGCAGACAGCCACUUUUGUUUUCAAGUAACUCUCUAAUUGCAAAAAAUGUACUUUGUAUUCAUCCAAAUCGGUGUCCAGGUAGCAUUCACAAGUAUUUGGGAGGCAGAGGCAGGAGGAUUCCUAGAGGACAGGAGUUCGUAUCCUCUGAAAACAUGUAGAAUAAAUCCAACUCCUUUCCCAUAUGAUAGUUCUUUGGAUAUUCAAAGCCCUUCCCCACACACCCAGCUGGCUUCUUAACCAUCCUUCAUACUGUGUGGAUUUGAACCAUUCUCCAUUGCAGUCUUUCUCCUUUAGGCACAUUAUAGUUUUGCGAAAAGUAUUUUGUUAGGUGAAGUACACAAAAUUAAAUAAGGCAUGUUUAGUGUCUUUAAGUAUCUCUUAAAGACAAUUGUAUGAGAUUAACUAUUGUCAAAAGCCCCCUUAAAAACUCUUCCGAGGUUCUGAGCAUGGGUGGGUCAUGUCUGUAAUCCCCACACUUCGGGAGGCCAAGGCAGGAGGAUCAUUUGAGGCCAGGAGUUUGAGACCAGCCUGGGCAAUAUAGUGAGACCCCAUCUCUACCAAUAAAUUAAUAAAAAUUAAAUUAAAAAACUACACCUAGAUAUAGACCAUUUGAAGAGUUCAGAGUGGAACUAUGAUGUCCCUACCUUGGACAGUAUACCUCCUUUAAGGAGACCUAAGUUUACAUUAGCAUUUGGAGUUGUGUUGAGUCAACUAAGCCUCUAAGUGUUUUUCACACUGACAGCUGCUAAGCCACAAACCAAGGGCAAUCACUACAGAGACAUGGAAUAAGAAAGAAUGAGUGUUUUCCAGGCUUUCUCUCCCAUUUAGUGAUUUGUGUUCGCACUACCUAUUCAUUCAUUACUUUACUUACUUGCUCAUCCCACAAACAUUUACUGAAUACUUAAGUCUGUCUAAUUAUGCAUAACAUACUUGGGUGGCCUGAAUGGGAAAGAAAUAUCAGACAUUACUUCCUGCCUUUAAAGAGACCUAUAAUUUAGCUAGGGAGGGAAAAAGAAAAAUAACUACAAAACGAAGUAACCUCUCAAAGCAUCACAUAAUGGAAAAAACACAGAAUUGAAUCUGGAACCUGGGUUAUAGAAAAGAGCUUUUUUUUUUUUUUUUUUUUUUGAGCUAGGAUCUUGUCUAUCACCCAGGUUGGAGUGCAAGAUCACAACUCUCUGUAGCCUUGACAUCCUGGGCUUAAGGCAAUCCUCCCACCUCAGCCUCUGGAGUAGCUAAGACUACAGGCACACACCAUCACAUCCAGCUAAUUUUUCUAGUUUUGGUAAAGAUGAGGUUUUACCAUGUUGCCCAGGCUAGUCUCAUACUCCUGUGUUCAAGCGAUCUGCCUGCCUGGGCCUCCCGAAGUGCUCUGAUUACAGGUGUGAGCCACUGUGUCUGACCUAGACAAGAGCACUGACUAAAGAUAAUCACAUUUACUCUCUAGAUCUCAGUUAUCUCAUUUAAAUAAUGAGACACCUGGACUUUUGGGGUUCUUUCUAUUUCUAAGGAUCUGUGCUUCCAAGUGCAAGAUAACUGUAAGCUUCUUGAGGGCAGGGAUCAUACUUCAUGUACAACUGAAUUUCCCAUUAAAUUUGUUACAGUUUUAACUCAUAAUAUCACACAAUACAUAUUUAUUGAAUGGUCUAAUGAAUUCAGAUUAAAUUGGCUUCAGCUUGGGAUACAAAAUGGCUCCCCAGGGCAAUGGGAAAAUAGGCCUGGGAAUUUCUUUCUUAUUUAUUUAUUUUUUUAUUUUUUUGAGACAGGGUCUCACUCUGCCACCCAGGCUGGACUGCAGUGGUGCCAUCAUAGCUCACCACAUCCUCAACCUCCUGGGUUCAAACACUCCUCUCGCCUCAGCCCCCCAAGUGGUGGAACCACAGGUGUGUGCCACCAUGGGUGGCUAAUUUUUAAAUUUUUUGUAGAGACAGGGUCUUACUUAGUUGCCCAAGCUGGUCUUGAACUCCUGUCCUCUAGGAAUCCUCCUGCCUCUGCCUCCCAAAGAGCUGGGACUACAGGCAUGAGCCACUGCGCCCUGCUGGAAUUCUCACCCCGACUGUCACUGGGUGAUAUCAUGAAGUGAUGGUCCAAGGAGAGGUAUAUGCAGUCUUGAUGCUCAAGAACAGAGAUGACUCAUAUAUUCUCACAUAUGCCAUAAUUAGUGGAUGAGAUCCGAAUUACGAGCUGGCUACAUACUGCCUCCUAUUCCUCCUCGAGUUUCCUGCUCUCUCCUUCUUUAGGUAUUUCCAGCUCUGAAAAGCCUGUUUUACUUCAUUCUCUUACCAAAGAGUUUGGUGACACAAAAUGAAAAGUUUGAUGGACAAUCUGGAAGAGUCCCACUAAGCAACACAAGAAAUACGCUCUCACAAAGACCUAUUCAUGUUUUCCAUGUUUCAAAUAUGACUGAACCUGACAUAUAUAAGAACGCAAAAGAUUCUUCAAAAUCAAACUGUGUCCGGAAUUGGUGGGUUCUUGGUCUCACUGACUUCAAGAAUGAAGCCACGGACCCUGGCGGUGAGUGUUACAGCUCUUAAGGUGGCGUUUCUGGAGUCUGUCCCUUCUGAUGUUCAGAUGUGUUCGGAGUUUCUUCCUUCUGGUGGGUUCGUGGUCUCGCUGGCUCAGGAGUGAAGCUGCAGAUCUUCACGGUUGCUAGUAACACAAUAAUAAAGCUGCUUUAUUUUCCAGUGAAGAUGUAUGUGAUAGGGAGUGGAGGAAGAAAAAGGCCAGAAAAUUCCAUAGUUAGCAAAUAUACCUUUCUUACUUAAAAUUCUUUUUCCAAUGUGAGCCUUCUAAAGAGUUACUGAGAAAUUAGGUGAGCUCACCUCAUUUAAUGCAAUAGAUAUGUUUCUGAAAAAUAAGCAAUACAUAGGACAUUGGCCAAUUAAGAAUUCUGAUGAAGAAGAAUUUUCACAUCCGAAAGAGUAAAAAUGAAAAACGGUACAAAUGUAGUGGCUUUUAAAUUUCAAAACAAAUUAUUUUGAUAAGAUAAAUAUUCCUCUCAUAAAGUGAAAAUGGAAGAGACUGCUUGCUGGGUGUUCGUCAAAAUGGAGUUAGAUGGUCUGUCCCAGACUCCCCUGUUGUUAGUUCUGAGAACAGAAGUAAUGGUGCUUCUUCAGGACUGGCUCAUAGAAACCUGCCGUGUUCAGCCCCCACAAUCCUCUCCCUUCUGCUGGCUGGAAACAAAUGACAACGAAGCCUCACGUCUUGGAGAAACCACACUGCUGAGGAACUCAAGUCCUAGAAGAACCAUUUGAAGAGACCCAUCUCACUAAAGAAAAUCACACAAGCAAGAAGUAAACUUCAUUGUAUCUAUGUAUUUAAUUGUCAUAACAGUCUACCUUAACUGAUACAGCAAAAAUUCGCUCCUUUUCUGGACACCCAGUUUCAAAAUCUCAGUGUCAUUUUUUACUUCUCUCUUUUCAGGUUGUUUAAUAUAAUAAAAUUUGUGUGUGUGUGUGUGUGUGUGUGACAAGGUCUUGCUCUGUUGCCCAGGCUGGAGUGCAAUGGCACGCUCCCAGCCCACUACAGCCUUGACCUCCAAGCUCAAGUGUUCCUCCCACCUCAGCCUCCAGAGUAACUGGGACUACAGGCAUGGGCCACCACACCCGGCUAAUUUUUGUACUUUUUGUAGAGACAGGGUUUCACCAUGUUGCCCAGGCUGGUCUUGAACCCCUGGGCUCAAGCGAUCUGCCCAUCUCCACCUCCCAAAAUUCUAGGAUUACAGGCGUGAGCCACUACACCCAACCAUUUUAUUUUUAAAAGUUUUCUUUGCAAUAUUGCUCACAUUGUUUCCUUCCUUUUUAUUCUUAUUGUCACUCCCAAGUUCAGGCUUUUACCUCUUUUAUUUGAAGUAUUAAAGUAUACUUCUAAGUCAUUUCUGUGGCUUAAAUUUAUUUAAUCCACUCCAUCCUGCAUCCUACCAACACAAUAACAUUGUUUCAUCAUUUCAAAUUGAAAUCGAAACUCUCCAAAGCUUUCCUACUGCUGAAUGGAUAAAAACACAAAAUCCUCAAUAGAGAAUUCACUUUCUGGAGCCAACUUACCUUUCCAAAUAUUUCCCAUUAUUCCCUAAGAGAAUCCUCCUGACAUACUCACUGUUUUUCAUAUACACUAGACCUUUUCUCAACCACCUAUUUGUCCACACAUUUUUCUUCCAGCUAGAAUAUUAUUUUCCCUUUCUCACUUCUGAAAGUCUUACCUGUCAUUCAUGGUUCAUCUCAAGCUCAAUCUUCUCCUUGAAACCUUUAAGCAUACCCUCCUGGAAAGUUAUCUCCCUCACCUCGAACCACCCCCCCAGCCCCUGCCAGAAUCUCCUAUAGGGCUGAUUGUUUAUCCUGCUUAUUAUAUAUUUAUAAAACACUCCACUGAGUUAUUAAUUACCUUUUCCUUGACUGUGAAAACAUGACUCUGGCUUCAAGGUAGGACCAUUUUUUCUCUAACACUGUGUCUCAUACACUUCAGCACAAGCUCUUAGUGGCCUGUGCAUUCAACUCCCAUGCAUAGCCACUUCCUCCAGGCAAACCCCACAGCCAGCAUCCAAAUUUUAAAAGGGGUUCUGUCAUCAACCCAAAGUUUCUUCUCUCUCAAGGAACCUAGAUUUAGAAGUUGAGUCUAGGCCACCUGUCUAAGAUACAGUAGUUAAUUUAACAUAUUUUAUUGCUCUCAACAUCACAGAGAAAGAGCCUUACUGCAGAUCUCAUUCUUUCCUUCAAAGCCAGUUUGCCCAUUCCUCUUCAGAAACCUUUAAGAGUGGUUAUUGGGAGAGAUGAUAAGACUCCAUCUGCUUAAGGAGUCCCUCUAACCCAGAAUAGUAGAUGUAAACACCUGACAUGUUGUUAUAGAGUGAAUGUUUGUGUUCCCCUCCAAUCCAUAUGUUGAAAUUCCAAGCCCCAAUGUGUUCGCAUUGGGAGGUGAGGCCUUUGGGAGGUAAAUAGAUCAUGAAGGUGAAGUCUUCAUGAAUGGAUUAGUGUCCUUAUAAAAGAGACCCCAGAGAGCUCUCUCAUCCUGUUUCUGCCAUGUGAGGACACAGCAAGAAGUUGGUCAUCUGCAACCUGAAGUGGCUCCUCCCCAGAAACUGAAUCUGCUGGGGUCUUAAUGGUGGGCUUCCCAGCCUCCAGAAUUAUGAGUGUAAAUGUUUGUUGUUUAAGCUACCCAGUCUAGGGUAGUUUGCUAUACUACCCCAAACUGACUAAGAUACAUAUGUUUGUCAUCCACUCAGUUGUUUUCCUAAAAUAAAUGAAGUCAGCUCCAAAGAUGAAUUUUCAUCUCUUUUUGUAGAGAUGGGUGCUAUUAUGCUUUUUAAUGAACGUUUAUUCACAAAUAAAAACAAAACAUACCUCUCACAUCCUCAGAGCAAAUACUUACAGUAACAUACAUUGAUGCUCACAAGCUCAUUACAUUUCAUGUUUACUAUUCAUUGAUAACAUUACAUUUAUUAUUAUCACAUAAACCAUACCUCCUGUUUAUGAAGCACUUAUGGUGUUUUAGUCAAUGUUAUGGUACCUGCUAUAUAUGGUCUCUAAUUUUAUUUUAACUUCCUAUAGUAAACAAUAUUAGGUGCUAACUCAAUAGUCAUUUUCUAACCUGAUUUUUCCUUGCAAACAGAACCCCAAAUUUGUUUGGAGAGAAAUGUGUCCAAAUCCAAACAAAGCAUCACCAUUUCUUUGAACCAUCAUAAGGAUCUAAUCAUUUUUUUUGUUUUCCUAGCCUCCCUCUAGCCAGAGAUACUGGGUAACACAGUUCUGGCUGAGAAGACAAGAGAAGAAAUCUGCUAAGCAUUUCUGGAAAAAGUUUUGAUUUGCUGAUGAAAGGGAACAGACAUACUGGUUGCCUUCCUUUUCCCUUUCAGCUGCCUAGUCGCCAUUUUGCAAUGUGAAACAACAUCAUUAAGGAAAGAUCAAAACAAUUGCAGAGAUGUCAACCAUCAUGCCUUUGAAUUCAUGCUCACAGUUGUCUGCCUCCAGAUUCAGUUAUAUUUGAGGUACUCUUUGAGUUAAGAUCCUUCUCAUUUUAUACCACUUGCAGCUGAACACACUCCCCACUAAUUUACCUUGUAAGGUGAAUUUCACUUAAAGGAAGAACACAUAAGUCAGGGAAUGACACAUAAUAGUAAAUGCAGGGUUUUUUUUUCUAUUUAUGAUAUAGAUUUAUACAACUGCUAUGUUCUUGACAUUGUACCAAUUUCAAGGUACAAAUAAGACAUAAUCCCUAAAAGCAUGGGUUACAAAAUCUGGGUUCAGCAUAGGGUUUCAUGAUAAACAAACAAACACAAAUUGUUUUUUAUUGUAUUUCCUUCUUCUUCACAUCUUGUGAAUCUAAGAAAAAUAUCAGAAUGUUCGUUUCAGCUCAAUUUUUGAAGAGUACAAUCUCUAAGUAAAAAGAAACUGUAAAUGUUUAUAAAUGUAACUAGAGCCUAGUAGAAAAUAAAGCCAUGCAAGUGUGUUUAGGUCCUAAUCUUAUUAACCAGAUUAGUGACACACAGUCUGCCCAAAGUUAAUGAAAGCAGUGAGGUUCUUUGACUUCAGUAGAUACACACCUGAACCACAGAGAUAAACUUGCUUCAAACCUGUGCGAUAUGUUUUUCUAAGCAUAAAAUUGAGCAUGAUAGCUCCAAUUUCAGUCUCAGUUUCAAAGCUUCCCUUUCCCGAAUAAGAGGCAAACUGUCACAUUAAAUUUAGCGAAUUAAAAUCAGUUAACUUGAAAAGCUCUUGGCCCCAAUGCAGAGAAAAUUGUUUGCAUAAUAAUAACUUAUUUCCUUUUUUAAAAGGCGGACUUCUGCCUGAAUGCUUCUAUAAACUUUUAAGAAAAUGGGAUUCUCAAAUCUCAAGCGUAUUGGGUUGCAGUUGGCACUUGAAGCUGGGGACAUGCAGAGCUGGCUAAUGUCAGCAGCUGUAGGACUGUCAAGAAAAAUAGGUGGAAGGGACACUUUUAUUAUAAGUAGACUUGCAAGGCAUUCCAACUUUCAGCUGCUCAACCCAGUAUACCAAACACCUCUGACUACCUCAAGUGUGGCCUUGCUGAGUGCUUCCAUAUUUAGGGGUUAUUAGACAGGACUGAAGCAAGUGACCUCUAAUGAGGAAGCAAUCAGGGCAGGCUCUGACCCUCCUCAGAGGUACUGUAAUGAACUGGCCUUGGAAGGUCUUUGAUGCUGCCUUUGCAUACUGUAUAUGAGCUUUCUGCUCAGUCAUUUCCUCUGCGCUCUGGUAGCACAGCAUGAAGCCUGCUAUUAGAAAAAAGGUUUAUUGCUACCUUGCAAACAUUUAUUGGGUAAUAUCUAAAACAUGGUGUCAAGUUAUAGUAAUGCGCUGUUCUGGGAAACUUUUUGAGAAUUUUAGUGUUUCAGAAGAUGGUCCUUUGAGAAUUCUUCUGUUUCAGAAAUGAAAAGUGGUAGAUAUAUACGUGUGUGUGUAUAAUAUGCUCAUGUAUCCUCUGAUUACUUGCCAGAGAUGUACCAUUUUUCUUUCAAGGGAAACAUCUAUUCCUAAGAUAGAUUAUUCUUGAAAUUUUCAAAGAGUAUGCCUCAGAGAACAAAUAUACAAAUUUACCAUUUGUCUGCAGAUAUUAUUUGCCUGUGUUUAUGCUAGGUCACUGACACCACACACAUUUUAAUCCCCAAGGGAAUUUAUUUGGUGGUGUUAUCUACUCAACCAAGCUGAAGCUUAUCUAGUUCACAAGAAAAUAGUCAAUAUGAGCUCCAUGCAGACUUAUGCUGUUAAUGCAGAAGAGGGAAAGAGAAUUUACCUUUAACUGUUAUGAUGAAAAUGUGUACAAUGACACUUAACUAUGGCAUGCAAAUCCUCUUUUCCUCCCCCACAGGUAUCUGGAAAGUACCUUAUACAGCUAGGUGCUUAGAAAAUGUUUAUUGAUUAAAUAGAUGAUGAUUAACAGAUUAAUAAAAGGUGAAAGUUACUAUCUAUGCAUUUUUUUCCAGUUUGAUGUUCAAAAACUUACCAAUGGAUGGGGAGUUGCUUUUCAUAAACAAUUUAUAAAGCACUGUCCUGGAUGAAAUUGUAAAAAGGACGUGGUGUCAAAGAUGACUCAGUGGAGUUGAGGUGAAAAAUGUGUAAUGAGCAAAUCAUGGUAAUUGGGAUAUCCAUCACCUCAAACCCUUAUCAUGUCUUUGUGUUGAGGACAUUUCAAAUCUUCCCUUCCAGCUAUUUUGAAAUAUACAACAAAUUAUUGUUAAGUGUAGCCACCCUAGUGUGCUACUGUACACUAGGACUUACUUAUUCCUUCUAUCUAACUGUAUUUUUGAACCCAUGAACCAACAUCUCUUUGAUUUCCAGCCUGGGCUUUGGUGUCCCUUUUUUUGUGUGUUUUCAUAGGGCCCUAUAUUUAUAUUAUUUGGGCUCAACACAUUGCAAAACUGCAGAGGAGUUUACUAUUAUGCACAUUAUUAUUCUAUAUUCUGUCACUCUAAGAAACAAUAAGUGACCAUCUGAAGAGACCAUCUUCUAGCACCAAAAUAUUUAAAGAUGAUUAAGAAUAAGACAAGGGUCUCCUUAUUUACAAAAUGACAUAAUUGAAAGGACUAGAUUAUUAGCAACCCCUCUGGAAAAGGAUUACUCUUUUGGAUUUUAAUUACAUAACUAAUAUAUCAACUGAAGUGCUAUGCCCUGACGUGUGCUCCCCUCAGCUUCACGAUCCAUAUGUUGAAACCCAACCCCUUAAUGUGAUGGCAUUUGGAGAUGGGGCUUUGGAGAUAUUAGUUAGGUUUAGAUAAGGUCAUGAGAAUGGGGCUCUUAUGAUGAGAUGAGCACCUUCAUAAAAAGAGACACGAGGUAUUUCUCUUUUCUCUCUUCUCUCUCUCCCUCUUUCCCUCCCUCCCUCUCUCCUCCUUCUCUGUCUUCCUCCUUUAUGUGAGGACAUAGCCAGAAGGCAGCUGUGUCUGCAAGCCAGGAAGAAAGCCCUCACCAGGAAUCAACUAUAUCAGCACCUUGAUCUUGAACUUCUAUCCUUAGAACAGAGAGAAAAUGAAUUUCUAUUCUUGAAGCCACCCAGCCUACGGUAUUUUGUUAUGGCAGUCAAGCUGAAUAAGAUAUAUAUCUACACUGAGACCAUUAAAAGUAGUUCCUGAUUGGCAGAAAGGUUGUAUAUAUAAAUGGCUCAUUGAAAGUUCUCACUGCAUGGAUGAGAAAUCUCAGAUUGAGGUUCUUAAAUUUUGAAAAAUAGAAAUAAAGGAAUUAACGCAACAGUCUUCUAAUCUUUCUGCCUUCAGUUUUUGCUCCCUUUGACUAUUCUCUGUACACUGCAUCCAGAGGUUAUAUUUUGACAGGGAAAUUCAAAUGAUGUAUAUUAUUUUUCUACUCAAAAUCUCCCCACUGGCACCCUAUUGUCCUAAAGCAUAAACUGCUAUUGCAGUCAAUUCACCUGAAAUAAGCUCUCUUCCUGCCGCGUCUUUUACAUAGAUUGUUUACUCCUCUUGUGAUCCCAGUUCCCUGCUUCUCCCUCUCCUCCACACUUUUCAAUAAUUAAAUUAUACUCAGCGUUCAGAAUUCAGUCAGGAUAUCCUACCUUCUUUGGUCAGCCCCCCAGGGUUUUCUGAAAGCUGGGAAGAGGCCCUCUUCUGCAAUCCCCAUGCACUGUAGACACAUCCCCUUUAGGUCCCUAUGUUGUGAGUGACUGUUUUCUUGUCUGUCUCUGCCACUAUAUUAUGCACUCUUAGAAGGCAAGGACUACUUCUCUUCAUUGUAUACCUAGAACUUAACCCAAAAACUGGCAUGUGCAUGCACCCAAGUUUUCACUGAGAAAAUAAUUGCAUGAGUCACUUGCUUUCCAGGUCUUUCUGACUACUAUGAUGGUGAUGACUUGUAGUCACAACAUGAAAUUGGUUUCUGCCCCUGAGGAUUGUAUCUCUCUACUUUGCAUGACCCCUAGAUUUCAAUCCCUCUUUAUUCUCUCCUGAUCCUUGGGUUCCAGUAAUUCUCUGGGUUUCAAAUAUAAGCACAGUGUGAGGAGCUCUUCAUUCUUGACAGAACUUUCAGGCAAGAAAGAAAUAGAUUCCUGGGAAUAUCUAUAUUCCCUCUGGCCCUAUUCCUUACUCCCAAAACAUAAUAACCCUUUUCUUAGGUUUUUUCUCUCUACCUUUUUACUUCUUCCUUAUUCUCACGAUUACAUGAAUUAACUGCCUACAGAGUAUGAAUUCAGACUGAAUUAAUAUGUAUUUAUGUGACAUAAAAGAUCUCUUUCAGUACUUCUUAAUCUUACCAAAUGAUGCAUACUAUACAAUAAAAAAUUGCAAUUUUUUCAUUAGCUUUUUUUUUUUUUUUUGGUUUCUGGUAGGGUUUUCCUUUAGUGGUAUUUUAGCAAGUAAUACAAUCCAGUUAUUUUUAAAAGUAUAUUAGUAGAAACUCACCAGAAGUCAAUAUACUGGUCCAAGAAUAAUUAACUGAUUGACUUUAUUGUUUAUGAAACUUUGUAAUGUUCCUUUUGAUGUGAAUGCUUAUCUUAGGGGGAAAUGCACUUUUCAAAUAUAAAUGAUCAUGUUUAAACAAACUGCUUCUAGUUUCAAAUAUGGCACUGAAAAACAAAAUAAAAUAAACACUCAAUUUUUAUUUAAAAUGGUGGGCAAUUUACUUUCUUUUUUGUUUGGGAUCUGAUUCAAGAGCCUCAAUUCAGCUUAUUGCAGAACUAACUAAACUAAACCUCAAAGGAAAAAUUUUAAAAAUGAUUUUUAUAGCAAUGACAUCAUUAUAUAAAAUGUUGGCAUUUCAUAUUUUCCAAACAGAAACUUGGAAAUAACAGAAUACAAGUUAAAUAAAACAAAUUGAAACUAAUCCAAUUCUCUGUUUUUCUUUCCCUUUUUAAAAACCAAGCUUUUUAUUGCCAGCUUUUACUUUGCAUAAUAAUAUAUGAUGAAUUGUCCAAGAAAGACCCAGUGGGUACAUUUCUCUUAGAAAUAAGCCUCUCUAUGCAAUAGGAGGCCAAGUUCUAGGGCAACAUACUUAUAUAAUCAUGUAAGAUUUUCCUUAUUGCUAACAAUUGACCAACCUGGGCAUUUGUCAAAUAUGUAAACACAUGGAGGUCACUGGUCACCAGAGGAUUGAAAACACAAAUCACUCUAUUCAUAUCCAUCCCUAGUUCUAGAAAAACAAUACCAAAUUAAAGCAUAUAUCCUACUAGCAAUAGGACUAGCAAAAUUAUUUUGGUAUACCAGAGCUACAUGUUAUACAUUUUGCUACUUAUGGAUUUAAUUACUCAGGAUAAUUAUACACAUGGCUACAACUGUAAACUUUAUAAUAUUUUGCUGGCAUACCUUCCAAAAGAGUUUGAAAAGCUAUGAAUUUAAUUCUAUAUUUGCAUUUGACAUAUAAAGUAC